rnacentral:rRNA from 1 species
UACGUAGGAGGCAAGCGUUAUCCGGAAUGACUGGGCGUAAAGGGUGCGUAGGUGGUUUGGCAAGUUGGUAGCGUAAUCCCGGGGCUCAACCUCGGUGCUACUACCAAAACUGUUGAACUUGAGUGCAGGAGGGGUGAAUGGAAUUCCCAGUGUAGCGGUGAAAUGCAUAGAUAUCGCGCAGAACUCCGAUUGCGAAGGCAGCAUGCCGGCUCCACACUGACGCUGAGGCACGAAAGCGUGGGUAUCGAACAGG